rnacentral:lncRNA from 1 species
GAGCCACAACCCUAGCCCCGGACUUCUCUUUUUUUAAGUUGGGAUAUUUUAUAUGUCUUUUUACCAAUGAAAGUAAUGUGUAGUAUUAAAAAUUCACGUUGGAAGAGAGUGGCAGCUGAAUAAUGGAGAGGAAUUGGAACCCAGUGCACAGUAGAGAAGUUGGCUUUAGACAGGAGCACAGAUUAAUAAUAACAAGAUGUAAGUAAAUUAGUAGGCAUUGUACUUUUCUUUUAUAAUGAUAAUGUGUGAAACCUUUUGAGCUGAAAAAUUAUACAGAAGGCAGGGCUGGGGUUAUGGCUCAGUGGUAGAGCACUUGCCUAGCAUGUGUGAGGCCCUGAGUUCCAUAGGACCUGAGUUCCAUCCUCAGCACAAUGUAAAAAUAAAUAAAAUAAAGGUAUUGUGUCCAACUACAACUAAAAAAUAAAUAUUAAAAAAAAUGAUACAGAGGGGCUGGAAUUGUGGCUCUGUGGUAAAGCAUUUGCCUAGCAUGUGUGAGGCACUGAGUGUGAUCCUUAGCACUGCCUAAAAGUAAAUAAAUAAGUAAAGGUAUUGUGACCAUCUACAAUGAAAAAAUAUGUAAAAAUGAUAUAGGAGGGGCUGGGUUUGUGGCUCAGUGGUAGAGUGCCUGCCUCACAUGUGUGGGGCCUGGGUUCAAUCCUCAGCACCACUUAAAAAUAAAUAAGUGAAAUAGAGUUAUUGUGUCCAACUACAACUAAAUUUUAUAUAUAUAUAUAUAAAUGAAUGAAUGAUAGAUACAGGGAAGCCACAUCAAUGUUUAUAGCAGCACACUUCAUAAAUAGCUAAGCUAUGGAACCAAUCUAGAUGCCCAUCAACAGAUGAAUGGAUAAAGAUAAUGUGGUUUAUAUAUACAAUGGAAUAUUACUCAGCCAUAAAGAAGAAUGUUUUUAUGACAUUCAUCAGUAUGAUGGAUCUGGAGACUAUAAGUUAAGUGAAAUAAGCCAAUCCCAGAAGAUCAAAGGAUGAAUGUUAUGGAUGCUAUUGGUAAGGGGAAGAAUAGAAGUUCAAUGGAUUAUACAAAGGGGAAAGAAGGGAAGGGAGGGGAGAUAGGAAUAGGAAAGGCAAUAGAAUGAAUCUGACAUAACUUUCCUAUGUAUACACAUGAAUACACCACAGUGAAUCUCAACAUUGUAUAUACUCCACCAGACUGGGAUCCUGAUUAGAAUAAGGUAUAUGUCAUGUAUAA